rnacentral:rRNA from 1 species
AACGAACGCUGGCGGCGUGGAUUAGGCAUGCAAGUCGAACGCGAAAGAGGGGGUAACUCCUCGAGUAGAGUGGCGAACGGGUGAGUAACGCGUGAAGAACCUGCCUUCAACAGGGGGAUAACACUCCCAACGGGGUGCUAAAACCGCAUGAGACCACGGGGCUGCAUGGCCCAGGGGUCAAAGGUGCCUCUACUUGUAAGCUACCGGUUGAAGAUGGCUUCGCGUCCCAUUAGCUAGUUGGCGGGUAACGGACCACCAAGGCGACGAUGGGUAGCUGGUCUGAGAGGAUGGUCAGCCACACUGGGACUGAGAUACGGCCCAGACUCCUACGGGAGGCAGCAGUCGAGAGGCUUUGGCAAUGGGGAAACCCUGACCAAGCGACGCCGCGUGGAGGAUGAAGG